ACCCGCUGAACUUAAGCAUAUCAAUAAGCGGAGGAAAAGAAACCAACAGGGAUUGCCCUAGUAACGGCGAGUGAAGCGGCAACAGCUCAAAUUUGAAAUCUGGCGUCUUUGACGUCCGAGUUGUAAUUUGCAGAGGGCGCUUUGGCAUUGGCAGCGGUCCAAGUUCCUUGGAACAGGACGUCACAGAGGGUGAGAAUCCCGUACGUGGUCGCUAGCCUUUACCGUGUAAAGCCCCUUCGACGAGUCGAGUUGUUUGGGAAUGCAGCUCUAAAUGGGAGGUAAAUUUCUUCUAAAGCUAAAUACUGGCCAGAGACCGAUAGCGCACAAGUAGAGUGAUCGAAAGAUGAAAAGCACUUUGGAAAGAGAGUUAAAAAGCACGUGAAAUUGUUGAAAGGGAAGCGCUUGCAGCCAGACUUGCCUGUAGUUGCUCAUCCGGGUUUUUACCCGGUGCACUCUUCUAUAGGCAGGCCAGCAUCAGUUUGGGCGGUUGGAUAAAGGUCUCUGUCAUGUACCUCUCUUCGGGGAGAACUUAUAGGGGAGACGACAUGCAACCAGCCCGGACUGAGGUCCGCGCAUCUGCUAGGAUGCUGGCGUAAUGGCUGU
rnacentral:rRNA from 1 species